UUUAUUGGAGAGUUUGAUCCUGGCUCAGGAUGAACGCUGGCGGCGUGCCUAAUACAUGCAAGUCGAGCGGAUGGAUUAAGAGCUUGCUCUUAUGAAGUUAGCGGCGGACGGGUGAGUAACACGUGGGUAACCUG
rnacentral:rRNA from 1 species